rnacentral:lncRNA from 1 species
GAAUUAAUGUGGACACAGUGUAGGUUUCACGAAAUUAAUUGAACUUGUUCAAUUCUACAUCAUGUCUGUCAACGUUAUAGCAGUAGAAGGGAGACUCCAUCUUUGUUGUAUAAAUAUACAAAAUCUCAACAAUUGGAGAUCGGUCACAUGUUGUUAAUUUUUUGUGUCAUUUUGAUCUAUUUUGGAGAAUUGUCUCAUUGGCAAUCAUACCACA